rnacentral:lncRNA from 1 species
GCAGUGCUCAAGCAGUGAGAAAUGGAGCUGUCACAAAACAUGGCCAAGCACAUCGUAGCCGUUUCCCGGUUCCUGCGCCUGACUAUAUGAACUUAACCUCUGCUGCCAGUUUUAUGUCAGCUUGACCCAAACUUGAGUCAUUUGUGAAGAGGUCGCCUCAGUUGAGAACAUGCACCUAUAGAAUGGCCCAUGGUGCUGGUGCUUUAAGAAAGCAGGCCAAGCAAACAAUGGGGAGCAAUCCAGAAAACACCCUUCUUCCACAGCCUCUGCAUCAGCUCCCAUCUUCAGGUUCUUCCUGUCUUUCCCUGACUUCCCUUCACGAUGGACUGUAAUCUGUGAGGUCCCGCAAGCCUGGAAGGCAAUACCCUGCCCCUUAUCUCGCCCUAAUUUGGAGGACAAGAGGAUGUGCGGAAGAGACUGUCCCAUCUGCCCCGGGACAGUACACAAGCAACCACAAUACAAACUAGGCCUUGCUCUUAUUUGUCUUGCUCAACUCCUACCCGUUUUCCGCCCUGAAUCCCGGGUGCCAAUCUGCCCCCACUUCGGCGCUGCGGACACUCACCACGCCACUCGAGGGACGGUUCCUGGAUGUGAGUCACAUCUUGGGCGCUGCCCUGGUGAACCCCCAGCAGCAGCAGCUGCUGCAGCCAGAGCAGCUGCAGCAUCGCUAACCAUUGCACCAUCAGGCACGCUAGGUGACACCCACGGGAAUCAGAACCGUGUCCCCUGCUCUGGACUAGGCUGCAGGAGGCAAGAGAAGCUACCACUCUUCUCGAGGACCACGCCACCCCGGAGCCCUAGAGAUGAACUCGCCUCCCUUGUCGCCACAGCGUGUACACUUGGGGCUCUGGGCGUGGAGACGCAAAUAGCGGAGUUUUCCCCGCCCCGCCCACACUGCUUUGGGGAGGGAGCAGGAAGAAGGGCCGGGCCUUGUGCAGCUUAAACACUCCUGCCUUUUGGGGUUAGGAGAAAGCAGGGCUAAGGUAACAGCGUGGCUCCCUUUCCCCGCUCCACGAGUGCUCAAACUUCUCUCUCGGGUUUGCUGCAGUCCCUGGUCACCCGUCCCCAGCGUGGUGAGCGAGCUAAUCCUCUCCAGGAGAAGAAACCUGCCCGCCGGAUUUGCAAGGGUUUGGCUGCCCGCAGAGGAGUCAAAAAAAAAAAAAAGAGCUGCCGGGUAAACUCAGGCCCGGGAAGCCUCUGGAAUGCAGAGCACAGGAGACACCUAGGGGCCCAACCUGGUCUUCAACAUUGCUCUAGAGUAACCAGAAGUCACCUUCAGUAUCCAGCUUUAUCCUAAUUUAAAAUAACCCCAGGCUUCCGUUUUCUUAGAUCAUCUUCAUCUAAUCAAAUAUCCCACACUGUAGAGUUGAAGAACCCAGUAAGAAAGGCAUGUGACUGGAUCUCCGUUACUCCUUAACUCAACAAAACUUACUCCCUAAAUUAGUAAACAACAACAAAUAAAUACAAAACAUCGGGCUGCCCAAA